rnacentral:rRNA from 1 species
CCUACGGGUGGCAGCAGUGGGGAAUAUUGGACAAUGGGGGCAACCCUGAUCCAGCCAUGCCGCGUGUGUGAAUAAGGCCCUCGGGUUGUAAAGCACUUUCAGUGAGGAAGAACGCCUGGUGGUUAAUACCCAUCAGGAAAGACAUCACUCACAGAAGAAGCACCGGCUAACUCCGUGCCAGCAGCCGCGGUAAUACGGAGGGUGCGAGCGUUAAUCGGAAUUACUGGGCGUAAAGCGCGCGUAGGUGGCUUGAUAAGCCGGUUGUGAAAGCCCCGGGCUCAACCUGGGAACGGCAUCCGGAACUGUCAAGCUAGAGUGCAGGAGAGGAAGGUAGAAUUCCCGGUGUAGCGGUGAAAUGCGUAGAGAUCGGGAGGAAUACCAGUGGCGAAGGCGGCCUUCUGGACUGACACUGACACUGAGGUGCGAAAGCGUGGGUAGCAAACAGGAUUAGAUACCCUUGUAGUC